UGGCUCAGAUGGUAGAGCAUGUGACUUUUGAUCUCAGGGUCAUGAGUUCAAGCCCCAU
rnacentral:tRNA from 1 species